AGCGAACGCUGGCGGCAGGCCUAACACAUGCAAGUCGAACGAAGUCUUCGGACUUAGUGGCGGACGGGUGAGUAACACGUGGGAACGUGCCUUUAGGUUCGGAAUAACUCAGGGAAACUUGUGCUAAUACCGAAUGUGCCCUUCGGGGGAAGGAUUUAUCGCCUCUAGAGCGGCCCGCGUCUGAUUAGCUAGUUGGUGAGGUAAAGGCUCACCAAGGCGACGAUCAGUAGCUGGUCUGAGAGGAUGACCAGCCACAUUGGGACUGAGACACGGCCCAAACUCCUACGGGAGGCAGCAGUGGGGAAUCUUGCGCAAUGGGCGAAAGCCUGACGCAGCCAUGCCGCGUGGAUGAUGAAGGUCUUAGGAUUGUAAAAUCCUUUCACCGGUGAAGAUAAUGACUGUAGCCGGAGAAGAAGCCCCGGCUAACUUCGUGCCAGCCGCCGCCGUAACAC
rnacentral:rRNA from 1 species